UCAUUUAUCCCGCAAAUCUAAUUAGCAAUCCGUGGCUGACAUUAAUACAGAUCUAAUGAGGCCGGCGAUGACCAGAUUAUCAGGCGAGCGCUGACAGAGUCUUAAAGGCACAUCAAGCCCUGCAGUCAGUGGGACCUGGCAGGGGAAAAUCUGCUUGAAAGGGGGAGAAGAAAAAGGAAAAAAAAAAAAAAAAAGAAAGAAAGGAGGAAAGAAAGAAAAAAAAAUUGACGAGGGAGGGGGAGAAAAACAUGAGGAAAAGCAGUGCGGGUAGGGCUUGGCUGCUUAGUUUAUUAAGGGAGCUGGAGCUUUGCUGGACGCAGUUUAUCCACCAGCAUCGGGCCUCUGUCCCUGCUUCUCCCGAAAUACCGUUCUGCAGAGGAGAAAAAGGAGGGGGGAAAUAAGGGGAAAAAAAAAAAUAAGAAGAAGCUGGAGCCCAAGGAGUCGCUGUGCAAUUUAUUCCAAGGGGUGGCUGUUGAGAAGGCGGCAAUUUGCGGCGGCCGGGGGUUAUUUAGUGCGAUAUGAAAUCAAAUGAUCCUAUUGCUCAAAUAACAGUGUCUGGGAGGAGAAGCGAGCGCGCUCCAAAGGUAAUUCAGCAGCAGUGGCAAGCCUGAGAUCGAGCAGGAUGGAGUGGCCUGGCCAAGCCGUGGCCCCACUGGCAGGAGCUUCAGAGUGGACAGAAGAGGGAACACAGCUUGGUGGUGAAGGUGCUGUUCUCCUGAAAGAGGAUCCUGGCAAAAACAUGGCUUGGUGCAGGGGAUGGCACGCUGAAGGCGAGACAGCAGCAGACACUUGAAUGGAGACUCCUCGUGUUUACAGCCUGGCCACACAAGUGACUGAGACCCGAAAUCUCCCUGAUGUCCUCUCUGGAUGCUUGGCCUUGGAACAGCCUCAGUCGUGCCACACCUGCUCCCUUCCACUCGUGGAGCCUUCUAUGCUGCACAGGGCACUGGAAAAGCGCUUGGAGAUGGCUGGAGAAGGAUGGGGCUUCCUGGAAAAUGGUCUCUAAACCAGGCCUUUCCCUGUGCCGUGGCUCAUUAAUAUCAGUGGUUCCUGCUGGAGGAACUCUGUCACCUUCCCUGAGGCAGCAGAUCUGAGGCCAGACGUGGUGUGCACUGCUUGUACAUUCAGACACGAGUAAUAACAAGUUUGGAGGAACUGUACCACUUAAUAAAAGCAUUUUAUUACACUUAAAUGUAUUAAAAUGUGAACAUUAAAUUCAACGCGCUAAUUACCGCUCCCAGGCAUUGCCGCUGACAGGAAAUGGAUCCUCACAAUUGCUCUGCUGAGAUCACUCACUGCUGUUACUGCUCUUUGGUUCCUGGUGUGUUAUUAGUGCUCUGCAUUUGGGACUUGAGUCAUUAACAAAAGGGACUCGUGUUGGGCAUUAUGUAAAUUCUGUAUGUUUUCACACAGCUACCGGGGCCUGUGUUAUGUAUCUCAUUGACAAAAAGAAAAGCAAAUGCAUUUGGCUCUGCCCUGGCUUGUGGGCGAGGGAUCUCAGGGGUCACCCAGGCACAGAGAGGGAAAACCUCUUCCUAACACAUCUCUGUGUUUCUGCAAAUCCCUUUCCAGGGAAAUUUGUCCCCCCCACCACCACCACUUGC